GUGCAAUUCAACGUAAUCUGAUUAAUAAAAUUUACUUUUGUAAUAAAUAAUUUUGUAAAUUUAAUAGAAUUAUCUAGUAUGUUAUUGUAAUAAUUAAAGAUAAAAUCUUUUUAGUAAUAGUUAAAUUUUACUGUGAAGGAUAUAUGAAAUAUUUUGAUUAAGUGAAAAAGUUAAUAUAAAUUUUGUACCUUGUGUAUCAGGGUUAAUUAAUAAAUAAUUAUAUAUUUAUAAUUCUCGAUUUUAUUAGAGUUAAUUAAUUGUAAUAGUUAAUGUUAAAUAAUUAUUAUUAACAGUUAAUUAGUAAUGAAAUGUUAAUCGUUGAUAAAGAUAUCUAGUUUUUAAGGAAAUAAAUUUAAUUUAUAUUUUUAUUUUAAUUAUUUACGUUGUAAAAAAAUUUUAUUAAAAAUAAUUAAUUUAGGGGAUUAGCUCUUUAUUAAAAUAUUAUAAGGAUAAAAUUAUAUUAAGAUUUUAUAAUUUUAAUAUUAAUUAUUAAUGAAAGUAUGUUGAAAUUUUACUUUAAUUAAUAUUUAUUUUUUUUUCUUUAAUUUUUUACUUAAAUUUUAUAUCUAAUUUAUAUUUGUUUGGAAUAAUGAUUAAAUUAGUAUAAAUAUAUUAUUUAAGUACAGUUAAUUUAAGGAAUUAGGCAAAAAAGAAAAAUUAUUCGCUUAACAAAAACAUCUUUUCUUGUUAGAUUUAAGAAGUAUAACCUGUCCAACGAAUUAUUAAAUGGCCGCGGUAUUUUGACCGUGCAAAGGUAGCAUAAUCAAUAGUCUUUUAAUUGAAGGCUGGAAUGAAUGGUUGGACGAAAUAAUUACUGUCUUAGAAUUAUUAAAUUAGAAUUUAAUUAUUAAGUUAAAAAGCUUAAAUUUUUUUUUGGGACGAGAAGACCCUAUAGAGUUUAAUAUUAAUAAGAUUUAUAAGUUGUUAUUUAAUAUAAUAAAUUAUAUUAAUAUUUAGUUGGGGUGACUAGAAGAUAAAAAUAACUCUUUAAUAAUCAUAUAUAAAUUACUUAAUUUAUUAAUGAUCCAAUAUUAUUGAUUAUAAGACUAAAUUACCUUAGGGAUAACAGCGUAAUUUUCUUUAAGAGUUCAAAUCAACAAGGAAGUUUGCGACCUCGAUGUUGGAUUAAGAAAUAUAUUUGGUGCAGAAGCUGAAAAUAUAAAGUCUGUUCGACUUUUAAAUUCUUACAUGAUCUGAGUUCAAACCGGUGUAAGCCAGGUUGGUUUCUAUCUAAUAAUAAUAUUUAAUCUUUAGUACGAAAGGACCAAGUUUUAAAAAAUAAUUUUUUAAUAUUGAUUAUAUUUAAUAACUAUUUUGGCAGAUAAGUGCAUUAGAUUUAGAAUCUAUAAAAGUAGAAUAUUACUACAU
rnacentral:rRNA from 1 species